rnacentral:ncRNA from 1 species
UUGUACAGCAAAACCCCCAAACUGAAUGCUCAAGAGCAAUAGCAAAUGCUAAUCCAAAACCAUAAUGAAUAAUAGGUGCACCCCAGCCUCUUACUUAUACUUUUCCUUGUAAUUCUUUGUUGAGUUAGGUUAACUCCCAGGGUUAAUCUUCUAUUCUUCUGUUGAGUUAUCUAUUACUCCUUUAUCCUUUCCCUUUCUUAAGUCAACUUAAAAAUAUUAAAUUUAGCUUAUUCACUUUCCCCCCCUUCAGUGUGAGACUAUGACCUAGUGGGGGUGCCCAGGCCACUGAGUCUCCUCCUCGCCUCUCUAAGAGGUGGGGGACAUUACAAAUUCCUAGUAAGCGCAUGUCAUCAACUCGUGUUGACUACGUCCCUACCCUUUGUACACACCGCUCGUCGCUCCUACCGAUUGAAUGAUCCGGUGAAGUGUUCGGAUCGCGUCAACGAGGGUGUUUCGUCAUUGACGAUGUCGUGAGAAGUUCACUGAACCUUAUCAUUUAGAGGAAGGAGAAGUCGUAACAACGUUACCGUAGGUGAACCUGCGGUAGGAUCAUUG